rnacentral:tRNA from 1 species
GUACUUAUAGGUAAACAGCUUAAACCGGACUCAUAAUCGCUUGGUCCCCCGUUCAAGUCGGGGAGGGGCCACCA